GAUUAACGCUGGCGGCAUGCCUAAUACAUGCAAGUCGAACGGAAGCAGCAAUGCUUUAGUGGCGAACGGGUGAGUAACACGUAGGGAACCUACCUAUACGACGAGGAUAACUACUGGAAACGGUAGCUAAAACUGGAUAGGAUCAAUUGAGGCAUCUUGAUUGAUUUAAAGAUCCUUCGGGAUUACGUAGAGAUGGCCCUGCGGCGCAUUAGCUAGUUGGUGAGGUAACGGCCACCAAGGCGACGAUGCGUAGCUGAGCUGAGAGGCUAAACAGCCACACUGGGACUGAGACACGGCCCAGACUCCUACGGGAGGCAGCAGUAGGGAAUUUUCGGCAAUGGGGGAAACCCUGACCGAGCAAUGCCGCGUGAACGAUGAAGGUCUUCGGAUUGUAAAGUUCUGUGAUUGGGGAAGAAUGGUAUUCUUAGGGAAUGAGGAGUACAUGACGGUACCCGAUUAGAAAGCCCCGGCUAACUAUGUGCCAGCAGCCG
rnacentral:rRNA from 1 species